AAAUAAGAAGCAAAAAAUUGCAUUUAGUUUCGACCUAAAAAUUUGACUUCAAGUCCUUAUUUU
rnacentral:tRNA from 1 species